rnacentral:rRNA from 1 species
UAGGGAAUCUUCCGCAAUGGGCGAAAGCCUGACGGAGCAACGCCGCGUGAGUGAUGAAGGUCUUCGGAUCGUAAAACUCUGUUAUUAGGGAAGAACAAAUGUGUAAGUAACUAUGCACGUCUUGACAGUACCUAAUCAGAAAGCCACGGCUAACUACGUGCCAGCAGCCGCGGUAAUACGUAGGUGGCAAGCGUUAUCCGGAAUUAUUGGGCGUAAAGCGCGCGUAGGCGGUUUUUUAAGUCUGAUGUGAAAGCCCACGGCUCAACCGUGGAGGGUCAUUGGAAACUGGAAAACUUGAGUGCAGAAGAGGAAAGUGGAAUUCCAUGUGUAACGGUGAAAUGCGCAGAGAUAUGGAGGAACACCAGUGGCGAAGGCGACUUUCUGGUCUGUAACUGACGCUGAUGUGCGAAAGCGUGGGGAUCAAACAGG